CCUACGGGGGGCUGCAGUGGGGAAUAUUGCACAAUGGGCGCAAGCCUGAUGCAGCCAUGCCGCGUGUGUGAAGAAGGCCUUCGGGUUGUAAAGCACUUUCAGCGGGGAGGAGGGCGGUGAGGUUAAUAACCUCAUCGAUUGACGUUACCCGCAGAAGAAGCACCGGCUAACUCCGUGCCAGCAGCCGCGGUAAUACGGAGGGUGCAAGCGUUAAUCGGAAUUACUGGGCGUAAAGCGCACGCAGGCGGUCUGUCAAGUCGGAUGUGAAAUCCCCGGGCUCAACCUGGGAACUGCAUUCGAAACUGGCAGGCUAGAGUCUUGUAGAGGGGGGUAGAAUUCCAGGUGUAGCGGUGAAAUGCGUAGAGAUCUGGAGGAAUACCGGUGGCGAAGGCGGCCCCCUGGACAAAGACUGACGCUCAGGUGCGAAAGCGUGGGGAGUAAACAGGAUUAGAUACCCUAGUAGUC
rnacentral:rRNA from 1 species